CAGUAGCCACGGUAAUACGAAGGGUGCAAGCGUUAAUCGGAAUUACUGGGCGUAAAGCGUGCGUAGGCGGUUUGUUAAGUCUGCUGUGAAAUCCCCGGGCUCAACCUGGGAAUGGCAGUGGAUACUGGCAAGCUAGAGUGUGUCAGAGGAUGGUGGAAUUCCCGGUGUAGCGGUGAAAUGCGUAGAGAUCGGGAGGAACAUCAGUGGCGAAGGCGGCCAUCUGGGACAACACUGACGCUGAGGCACGAAAGCGUGGGGAGCAAACAGGAUUAGAGACCCCUGUAGUCCCUGUCUCUUAUAC
rnacentral:rRNA from 1 species